GUUCCCUAUGCAGUGUUGUAGUCCUCCGGGCAGACGGGCUUCAGCGAGCAGAGGGGUGGAGGCCGGACGAAGCAGAGCGUUCCUUUCUAAAAAGAGGAUUUUCCGAAGCUGCCACUGGCUUCUCCAGCCAGGCCAGGGUGGGUGUCGCAUUUCUGCAGUCGGCAGUCAGUGGGAACUGAAGUCCAGUCAGAUCGGGGUCUUGUGCUCGCAGUGAUGGUUUCCCUACGCCGAGAUGACUGUCCAGUUGAUGGGAAACACAUCAGGAUGAAUGGCUCGCUCCUGGAUCCACAAACACCCAUGAGCUCACGUCUCAAAGCCUGAAGGCCACUGUCAUUUGACACCUGACACUUUUUACACACCCUAAAGACAAAGCAACCAGGACCUCUUCUCAUCUUGCACACAGAUCACAGUACAGCCGCCCUGAUUCAUUAACAGGACUGAAAAAGAGCAAAUUCCUCAGCUCCAGUUGGAUUCUGCCUGCCUGUCCUGUCGUGUGCAAAACACAGGUGUGGGGGGCAAGCAGAGAGGUAAGGUAGUAAAAAAACAUCACAGCGGUGGAAAUAAUACACUGGAAGGCAGAGAAAAGCUGCAGCUUCUUUAAAUUCACCCAUGCAAAACCAGCAUAUUGCAGCAGUGCUGGGGAACAUUUAAGGUAUGCAAGCACUUUUGGUUUGUGCAUACUACAGUAUAUUUGCCAGCCCAGUUGUUGAUGUGCAUUAGAAAAACACACGAAUCAGCAAGCAUACCAUGGUAUCAGCAGAAACCAGCCAAGGACAGCAGAACAAAGCUGAAGAGGUGGUGUGCCUGUGAUUAACUUUCAAGCAUGGCAACUGAAGCCUAAUUAACAUUAUUACAGUGUCCUGAGAGGGUCUUUGAGAGCCUUAGUCUAGCCUGAGGAUAUGCAAUGAAAUGACUUAUGGCUGAUCCACUCUGCAAUGCUGGAUGAAGAUAUUCACUGGGUUUUUGUCAUUUCAAUUUGCACUACUUGUUUCUGCCUACUCGGUGCCCCCCUUUUUUCUUCUCCAACAGCAUCUGGACACCCUGAUCCAUGCCGUCUGCCCUGUGGGCUCUCCGCAGUGCACAGCCCGCAAGCAGUAGCUGACCGGACAGCCGCGAGUGGCCUCACCACACACCAGCCCCACCUGCGCGUUUUACAGCGUUCAGCAGGGAUUCCAGGCUUUUGGAUGUGGGUGAGGAAGGCAGCGCUGCGCGACGCCUCCCGGCCCGGAGUGAAGAGAUUUCCCAGGAAACGAAGACGGAUCUGUUUCAAAUUCAGUCGCAGUAGCUUUCCAAUCACUCCCAUCAAAUGGGUUCUGCAGACACUGAGGCGUUGCUGCCAACAUGGAACUUCGAGGCAUUAUUAUUAUUAUUAUUAUUA
rnacentral:lncRNA from 1 species